AUGAGGGAGAAGGAGAAGAACAGCCGCAGUCCAAGUCUUGGACUUAGGUUUCGUAGCUCUUGCUCCGGGCCUUUCAUUUCUCUCUCUAUUUUUCUGAAAUCUGGUUCUUCUCUGAUCUGAUGAGUGAAAUAGUUUUGAAUUCAGCUCUGAAAAAUUUCUUCUCUGAUUGAAAUGGGUUUCUGAAAUGAUCUUUAUUUUCUAAAAAGGGUUUCGGAAUGGUUUCUAUCAUUGCACCGCUUCAAAAAUGGUUCAUCAUCUGUAUUUGCUGAUUUUAUUUUCUGAAAGGGGUUUCAAAAUGAUCUUUAUUUGCUGAUUUUGGAUUGUUUUUUCUCUCAUCUGUAUAGUUUCUCUGUGUAUAGCAAAGAUGAAUCAUGCUAUAUACUUUUUGUGUCUACAAGGUGCUCGACUAAAUGUCACAAUGGCAUUGCAAAGAUGAGAUUUGUCAUCUCAGUUCUGUUAUUUCUUGUGUUCAUUUUAUUUGGAGUUGGCUUAUUGACUCAAGUAUUUAUGAGUAAUGAAUCUUCCCAAACCCACCCAUGAUAGACAUUUUGUACUUUGGUAUCUUCUAGCAUUAGUGGGAGCAUUCAGAAUUUGUGAUCAUGGUUCUUGAGGUAUACAAUUAUCCAUGUUAUCUUUUUGCCUUUCCUAACUUAGGAAUUGUUUGGUUGUCUUUUUUAAUUACUUUUUGUCUAUUUAACCAAAAAAAAUUAGAUCAUUUUGCUUGUUUGCAGUUCCUUUUGUACUCUAUUCAACCAGACAAGUUUUAUUAAUUGCUCCUGCACAAAUUAAGAGUGGCAGGACAAAAUAUUAUCUGUUGGCAUCCUUUGUUCUACACAUAAAGCAUAGUGAGUCCAAGGAUUCUGCUGUAAGCCCAAGAAUUUUGCUGUCUGGUCCUGCAGAUUCAUCAUGAUAUGACAGCUUAUUUAUCUCACUAUUUUGUAUAUACGGGCUAUAAUUUGUAUCUAAAGGGAAAUCAACUAAGGAGUGACUGCAGUGAUGUCCCGAUCAUACAAGCAUUGCAGAGAGGUGUUAGAGUAUUUGAACUGGAUAUCUGGCCGAAUUCCACAAAAGAUAAUGUCAAUGUUCUUCAUGGAAGGAAACUCUGGCCAACCUCCCAAGCGUUUAGAAGUUUCUAGGAGCUCAAAUGGAGAAGAUGAUGAAGAAUGGUCACUGAUAUCCGAAAUGCACUCAAGGUAUUUGCACAAUUAACAUUCAAUUGCAUUUCUUUUGUAGAACAUUAAAUAUUUGAGAUUGGUAGAGCCUCUUAAACUAAGUUAUUGGUUAUAGUAAAAUUUCUGUUGAACAUGCAAUUAAUGUGGGUAAAAUGACAUUUUAUUUUUACACGCUUCAUGUCAUGCUAGAGGUAUUUAAUGUUAAGACAUUUGAAGGGGUGUAAUCAGUCGGACUUUAUCUUUUGUGAGACUAGAACAAUCUCUUCAAAUAGUUAGUUUAUUCAUAUGCUUCUAGCGGUUUCUGAAUUAAUUUGUGUUUUCAUUUUUCAAGUUAGAAAUUUCUUGGAGAGAUGCAAA